UCCUCGGUGGUCCAGUGGCUAAGACUCUGCAUUCCCAAUGGAGGAAGUCUGGGUUCAAUCCCUGGUCAGGGAA
rnacentral:tRNA from 1 species